rnacentral:tRNA from 1 species
AAAGGGAGACCUAAUUCAGGUAUAAGACGAAAAAAAAGUAGUCCCUACCAAGAAUCAAUCCAAAAGGUCGGAACGAGGUAUGAGGCUUUCAAACUAGGUUCUGGGUUCAUAAAAGACCUGAAUCAGGAACAAGGGCUAUUAGCUCAGGUGGUUAGAGCGCACCCCUGAUAAGGGUGAGGUCCCUGGUUCGAGUCCAGGAUGGCCCACCUGCACAGGUGGCAAAAACAAGAGAAGCGAGGAAUCGGCACCUUAUCUUACUGACAUAGUAAGAGAGAAUGCUGGCUCUGAGUAAAGAGUCCAGAGGAACCUUGAAAACUGCAUAGAGCUAGGUGAAAAAGCCAAAAAAGAAGACCGCAAG